UCGAACGGGCCGCAAGGCCAGUGGCGCAAGGGUGAGUAAGGCGAAGGUAACCAACCCCAUGGUCGGGUAUAGCCGCGGGAAACUGCGGGUAAUCCCCGGCGACGUCCGGGGGGGGCAUCCCCCCCUGACCAAAGUUUCGGCGCCGUGGGACGGGCCUUCGUGGUAUUAGGUCGUUGGCGGGGUAACGGCCCACCAAGCCUCUGAUGCCUACCGGGCGUGCGAGCGUGGCCCGGCACACUGGGACUGAGACACUGCCCAGACUCCUACGGGAGGCUGCAGUCGAGAAUCUUCGGCAAUGGGCGCAAGCCUGACCGAGCGACGCCGCGUGGAGGACGAAGGCCUUCGGGUUGUAAACUCCUGUCGAGGGGGAAGAAGCCUUAACCGGUUGACUGAUCCCUGGAGGAAGCACGGGCUAAGUUCGUGCCAGCAGCCGCGGUAAGACGAACCGUGCGAACGUUAUUCGGAAUCACUGGGCUUAAAGCGCGUGUAGGCGGGUCGGAACGUCGGUCGCUGAAAUCCCCCGGCUUAACCGGGGAACGGGCGCCGAAACGGCCGGCCUGGAGGAACGUAGGGGGAGCUGGAACUUCCGGUGGAGCGGUGAAAUGCGUUGAGAUCGGAAGGAACGCCCGUGGCGAAAGCGAGCUCCUGGACGUUUUCUGACGCUGAGACGCGAAAGCCAGGGGAGCGAACGGGAUUAGAUACCCCGGUAGUCCUGGCCGUAAACGAUGGGCACUGGGUAGGGGGCUCGCCGAUGGGCUCCCUGCCGCA
rnacentral:rRNA from 1 species